GGACGGGUGAGUAAUGCAUAGGAAUCUGCCCGAUAGUGGGGGAUAACCUGGGGAAACCCAGGCUAAUACCGCAUACGUCCUACGGGAGAAAGGGGGCUCCGGCUCCCGCUAUUGGAUGAGCCUAUGUCGGAUUAGCUAGUUGGUGAGGUAAAGGCUCACCAAGGCGACGAUCCGUAGCUGGUCUGAGAGGAUGAUCAGCCACAUCGGGACUGAGACACGGCCCGAACUCCUACGGGAGGCAGCAGUGGGGAAUAUUGGACAAUGGGCGAAAGCCUGAUCCAGCCAUGCCGCGUGUGUGAAGAAGGCCCUCGGGUUGUAAAGCACUUUCAGCGAGGAAGAACGCCUAGUGGUUAAUACCCAUUAGGAAAGACAUCACUCGCAGAAGAAGCACCGGCUAACUCCGUGCCAGCAGCCGCGGUAAUACGGAGGGUGCAAGCGUUAAUCGGAAUUACUGGGCGUAAAGCGCGCGUAGGUGGCUUGAUAAGCCGGUUGUGAAAGCC
rnacentral:rRNA from 1 species